rnacentral:rRNA from 1 species
GACGAACGCUGGCUGCGUGCCUAAUACAUGCAAGUAGAACGCAGUUGCGAACGGGUGAGUAACGCGUAGGUAACUGCCUCAUAGCGGGGGAUAACUAUUGGAAACGAUAGCUAAUACCGCAUACUGUGAGAUGGACCUGCGUUGUAGUAGCUAGCUGGUGAGGGAAAGGCUCACCAAGGCGACGAUACAUAGCCGACCUGAGAGGUGGAUAGGCGCCACUGGGAGUGAGACGCGUGCAAGACUACGCGGGGAGGCAGCAGAAGGGACUCUUGGGCAAUGGAAGACAGUCUGACCAAGCAACGCGGCGCGAGUGAAGAAGGUUUUCGGGUCGCAAAGCUCUGUUGUUAGAGAAGAGGAAACUAACCAGAAAGGGACGGAUAACUACGUGCCAGCAGACGCGGUAAUAC